rnacentral:rRNA from 1 species
UACGUAGGGGGCGAGCGUUGUCCGGAUUUAUUGGGCGUAAAGAGCUCGUAGGCGGUUUGGUAAGUUGGAUGUGAAAUCUCCAGGCUCAACUUGGAGGGGUCAUUCGAUACUGCCAUGACUAGAGUUCGGCAGGGGAGACUGGAAUUCCUGGUGUAGCGGUGAAAUGCGCAGAUAUCAGGAGGAACACCGGGUGGCGAAGGCGGGUCUCUGGGCCGAUACUGACGCUGAGGAGCGAAAGCGUGGGGAGCGAACAGG